ensembl:lncRNA
GCUGAAGGUUAAUGACAGGGGACUCUGGAAGACGCGGAAGCCAGAGAGUUAUGGUGACAUCCUCUCUCUUUUGCAAAAGCUGGCAUUCACAGCCACUGCCCAUGUGAAAAUGGAUUAUUCCCUCCCACAUAUGCUCAGCUUACUGAUGAACGGUGAAAUUCGCUGGGGACAGUCAGCUGCUACUAAGCUUCACUUUCUGCUCUUUUCCUAGUGAAGAACAACUGUGGCAGCUGACCUUGAGUACUGAGAAGGAAGACUGGGGUGGUUUGGAUGGAGGUGGUUCCGGCACCAACAGUCGUGUCCAUACACACACGUUUUCUGGAGUUGAGGGGCAUUUGUUUUCUUUUUAAAGGAAAAAGAAAAAAGAGGGAACUGUGCAGCGGAGUGACUAAAGAAAGAUGCUAAAGUUGGAACUGGGGACAAUCCAAGCUGGCAGCCGCUGAAUC